rnacentral:tRNA from 1 species
GCGGAUGUGGCGGAACUGGCAGACGCGCAUGAUUCAGGUUCAUGUGCCAGUAAUGGCGUGGAGGUUCAAGUCCUCUCAUCCGCACCA